UACGAAGGGUGCAAGCGUUACUCGGAAUUACUGGACGUAAAGCGUGCGUAGGUGGUUGUUUAAGUCUGCUGUGAAAGCCCUGGGCUCAACCUGGGAAUUGCAGUGGAUACUGGGCGACUAGAGUGUGGUAGAGGAUAGUGGAAUUUCCGGUGUAGCAGUGAAAUGCGUAGAGAUCGGAAGGAACAUCUGUGGCGAAGGCGACUAUCUGGGCCAACACUGACACUGAGGCACGAAAGCGUGGGGAGCAAACAGG
rnacentral:rRNA from 1 species